AUCCAGCUGACGAGUCAAAAUAGGACGAAACGCGCGUCCUGGAU
rnacentral:hammerhead_ribozyme from 1 species